GACGAACGCUGGCGGCGUGCUUAACACAUGCAAGUCGAACGGAAAGGCCCUGCUUUUGUGGGGUGCUCGAGUGGCGAACGGGUGCGUAACACGUGAGUAACCUGCCCUUGACUUUGGGAUAACUUCAGGAAACUGGGGCUAAUACCGGAUAGGAUCUCCUGCUGCAUGGUGGGGGUUGGAACGUUUCGGCGGUUGGGGAUGGACUCGCGGCUUAUCAGCUUGUUGGUUGGGUAGUGGCUUACCAAGGCUUUGAAGGGUAGCCGGCCUGAGAGGGUGAACGGCCACAAUGGGACUGAGAGACGGCCCAGACUCCUACGGGAGGCAGCAGUGGGGAAUAUUGCACAAUGGGAGGAAGCCGGAUGCAGAAACGUCGCGUGCGGGAUGACGGCCUGCGGGUUGUAAACCGCUUUCGCCUGUGACGAAGCGUGAGUGACGGUAAUGGGUAAAGAAGCACCGGCUAACUACGUG
rnacentral:rRNA from 1 species